rnacentral:rRNA from 1 species
UUAAGAAAAUAAGUGCAAGCGGUGGAUGCCUUGGCAUUCAGAGGCGAUGAAGGACGUGAUAAUCUGCGAUAAGCUUCGGUUAGCUGGUAAAUGAGCUAUGACCCGGAGAUUUCCGAAUGGGGGAACCCACCUGACACAAGUUGGGUACUCACUCGAUAUAGAGUGUAGAGCGAACGAGGGGAACUGAAACAUCUAAGUACCCUUAGGAAGAGAAAUCAAUUGAGAUUCCCGUAGUAGUGGCGAGCGAAGUGGGAAGAGCCUGGUAUGAUUUAGCUGUAAUUAUAGUAGAACAAGUUGGGAAGCUUGACGAUAGAGGGUGAUAGUCCCGUAUACGAAAUAAUCACAGUGGAACUAAGCAUACGAACAAGUAGGACGGGGCACGUGGAACCUUGUCUGAAUAUGGGGGGACCAUCCUCCAAGGCUAAAUACUCCUGAAUGACCGAUAGUGAACUAGUACCGUGAGGGAAAGGUGAAAAGAACCCUUAUAAAGGGAGUGAAAUAGAAUCUGAAACCGCUUGCAUACAAGCAGUAGGAGCAUGAUUUAGUCAUGUGACUGCGUACCUUUUGUAUAAUGGGUCAGCGAGUUAUUUUUAGUGGCGAGGAUAACUGAAUAAGGGAUCCGUAGCGAAAGCGAGUUUUAAUAGGGCGACUAGUCGCUAGGAGUAGACCCGAAACCGGCGCGAUCUAUCCAUGGCCAGGUUGAAGAUUAGGUAGUACUAAUUGGAGGACCGAACCCAAUACUGUUGCAAAAGUAUGGGAUGAGCUGUGGAUCGGAGUGAAAGGCUAAUCAAGCACGGAGAUAGCUGGUUCUCCCCGAAAACUAUUUAGGUAGUGCCUCGUGUAUAACUCAUUGGGGUAAAGCACUGUUUCGACAAUGGGGGUUUUACGACCUUACUGACUCGAUGCAAACUCAGAAUACGAUGAAGUUCGAUCACGGGAGACACACUGCGGGUGCUAAGGUCCGCAGUGGAAAGGGAAACAGCCCAGACCGCCAACUAAGGUCCCAAAGUCAUAGCUAAGUGGGAAACGAAGUGGGAAGGCCCAGACAGCCAGGAGGUUGGCUUAGAAGCAGCCACCCUUUAAAGAAAGCGUAAUAGCUCACUGGUCGAGUCGGCCUGCACGUAAGAUUUAACGGGGCUAAGCUAUGCACUGAAGUUGCGGAAUAUAUUUAGUAUAUUGGUAGGGGAGCGUUCUGUAAGCCGAUGAAGGUGAAUUGAGAAGUUUGCUGGAGGUAUCAGAAGUGCGAAUGCUGACAUGAGUAACGUAAAAUAAGUGAGAUUCUUAUUGGCCGAAAACCCAAGGGUUCCUACGCAAUGUUAAUCAACGUAGGGUAAGCCGGCCCCUAAGGCGUAGCUGAAGAGUGAAGUCGAUGGGAAACAGGUUAAUAUUCCUGUGCUGCUUAUAUGAACGAAGGAGGGACGGAGAAGGUUAGGUAGGCCUGGCGAAUGGUUGUCCAGGUGAAAGUAUGUAGGUAGGAAUGCUAGGCAAAUCCGGUGUUCUGUUGAUCUGAGAUACGAGACGAAGUUAAACUUGUUUGACGAAGCUAUUGAUACCAUGCUUCCAGGAAAAGCUUCUAAGUAUAUUGUAUAAGUGACCGUACUGUAAACCGACACUGGUGGGUAGGUAGAGAAUACUAAGGCUAUGAGAUAACUCUGGUGAAGGAACUAGGCAAAAUGACACCGUAACUUUGGAAGAAGGUGUGCCCUUGAUGGUGAUGAGACUUGCUCUUUGAGCUGUUGGGGGUUGCAGAUACCAGGUGGCUGCGACUGUUUAUCAAAAACACAGCACUCUGCGAAAUCGUAAGAUGAAGUAUAGGGUGUGACGCCUGCCCGGUGCUGGAAGGUUAAUUGAAGGGGUUAGCGCAAGCGAAGCUCUGGAUCGAAGCCCCAGUAAACGGCGGCCGUAACUAUAACGGUCCUAAGGUAGCGAAAUUCCUUGUCGGGUAAGUUCCGACCUGCACGAA